AUUGAACGCUGGCGGCAUGCCUUACACAUGCAAGUCGAACGGCAGCACGGGGGCAACCCUGGUGGCGAGUGGCGAACGGGUGAGUAACACAUCGGAACGUGCCCAGUAGUGGGGGAUAGCUCGGCGAAAGCCGGAUUAAUACCGCAUACGACCUACGGGUGAAAGCGGGGGAUCGCAAGACCUCGCGCUAUCGGAGCGGCCGAUGUCAGAUUAGGUUGUUGGUGGGGAAAGGCCUACCAAGCCGACGAUCUGUAGCUGGUCUGAGAGGACGACCAGCCACACUGGGACUGAGACACGGCCCAGACUCCUACGGGAGGCAGCAGUGGGGAAUUUUGGACAAUGGGCGCAGGCCUGAUCCAGCCAUGCCGCGUGCGGGAAGAAGGCCU
rnacentral:rRNA from 1 species